AUGGACUCUGCGCCUACGGUGGCGGUGCACGUCCUUGUGUUCCCUUGGCCACGGCAGGGACUCAUCAACCCCAUGCUCCACCUUGCCACGGCCCUCCUCGACGCCGGCGUCCACGUCACCUUCCUCCACACCGAGCACAACCUCUGCCGCAUUGCGAGGGCGCCUCCGCCGCGCCUACGUUUGCUGUCGAUCCCCGAUGGCCUCCCCGACGACCACCCCCGCCACUACAUGGAGCUGAUGGAGUCCAUGUGCACGACCGGCAGCGCCGCGUACCGUGCCCUGCUCUUGUCGUCGCUUCUGCCCGCCCACGAUGUGCCGCCGGUGACAUGCGUUGUCGCCGAUGGCACCAUGCCGUUCGCCACCGACAUCGCCGAGGAACUCGGCAUCCCGGCGCUUGCCUUCUGCACAUUCAGCGCGUGCAGCUCCCUGGCGUUCAUGUCCAUGCCCAAGGUCUUCGAGCUCGGCGAGAACCCCUUCCCUGCGGACGACCCAGUGUGUGGCGUUUUGGGGAUGGAGGGCAUCCUCCGGCGACGAGAUCUUCCUCGUGGUCCUGGACUCUGCUCCACUGAGCAAUCAGGCGGCGGAGAUCCCAUGAUACUCAAGAUUGGCGAGGGCGUCGCUCAUAGCUGCAAGGCGCGUGCGCUGAUAAUCAACACCGCCGCGUCGAUGGAGCGGCCAGCGCUCGCCCACAUCGCGUCGCGCACACGCGACGUCUUCGCGGUAGGUCCACUCCACGCCAGCUCGAGGUCCGCCGCAAGCGCGAGCCUGUGGCGGGAGGACGACGGGUGCAUGGCGUGGUUAGACGGCCACGGCGACCGGUCCGUCGUAUACUUGAGCCUGGGGAGCAUCGCCGUGAUCUCGUACGAGCAGCUCACCAAGUUCCUCUCCGGCCUCGCAGCCACCGGGUACGCCUUCCUCUUGGUGCUCCGGCCGGGCAUGGUCUAG
rnacentral:rRNA from 1 species